GUGUACGUCACUUCCGCAAAAGCGCAAUUCAUUUAGGGUAGUUAGCGCCAUUUCUGUGGUGAAGAGACAGCAGCAACGAAGAAAAGAAAACAAACAGAGAGCAGACGUGUUCUAGUUGCUUCUUUGGAAAUAAUGGUACACUGGUGCUGCGUCAAAGGAUGCAAUAGUAAUUCUAAACAGAAAACAGCAGAUGCGGCCUUACGGUUUAUCGUAUUCCCCACUUGGAAAAAAAAAUACGGACCGCAGACAGAGGACUUAACAAAGAGGCGUCGGGCUCCGUGGGUCGCUGCUGUAAGAAGGAAAGACAUCACGUUUCAUAAAAUAUCUCCUCAUGUUCGUGUUUGCUCUCAGCAUUUUCACAAAGGUCAACCCGCAUAUGAGAUGAUGGAGACUGACCCAGACUGGGCUCCAUCCCUGCAUCUGGGCCACACUGACAUCAGACCAACAGACACAGAACGCUCUUUAAGACGUGGUUAUCGGGAACAGCUGAAAAAGAAUGCCCUGCAAGCAACUGAAACGGGGCUCCAUCAGGCUGAUGAAAGGACAGGAAGGACAGACAGAAUGUAACCUGUGUGUGCUCAGGUGUGCAGAGAUGAACCGUCUUUUGGAAGAAAACAGAGAGCUGCGGCGUGAACUUGAUGAGCUACAGAUCUCUGAUUGCUUCUUUGGAGACAGUAAUGAAAAA